AUAUAUAUAUAUAUUUAAAAACAUUAAAAAAAUGUAUGGUAUUCCUCAAAGUCUGUCUGCAGCUCUGGAAUAUUUAUUCAGAUUCAGAAUACCCUUUAUAUGUUACAUGUGGGCUUUUUACUGUAUGUAUUAAUAUAUUUAUUCAGUGUUAUGUGUUGGGUUUUUUUUAGCUGUUCUGUUUCUUCACAUACAUAACACAAUAACACAAAGAACUGUAAAAUGUAAAUGCAAUAUCAAACAACCUUGCAGUAAACACUACCUUAGUGACGCUUUUGGUGUUCAGAUUGAGGUGUUGAUUUAACUUUUAGGGCCAAGAUAAGUUGAAGUGUUAUUUUUGCACCACAUGGCACGGGUGUCUUACUUUAGUUUCUUCAGCUGGGGGAUGAAGUAAGAAGAAAACUACUGCAGAAGUAAUGUUCUUCUGUGUUGUACACAAUUUAUAGUGUAGUUAGAUCAGGGUUUGUUGCAGGGCCGUCAUAUUUAAUAGUAUUUCCUUUUACAGGCUUUUGUGUUAUUUUAACCUCCGUACAUUAUCAUCGAUAUUUAAUUCUGUGUAUUGUUGUGCCAGUGCUGAAGGCUGUUCGGCUACCUGAGCAUUUAGUUGAGGGUUGGCUCAUUAGUGUUAUACUUUAAGAGCUAGAGCUAAAUGACACAGAGCAUUAUUUUCCCCAAUAGACCAAAUGAAGUUUAGUGCAGACAAUAUGUAUUUGAUUUCACCUUAAUCUGCCUCAGUGCCAAGUAUUUUAUGAAAUUGGUGUCACUAUAACAUGUUAAGUUUUGUAAUCUGUAUGUUACAGGAAGGUUUAAACUUGAAGGGUUUUGAGAAAUAACAAGUUUAGAUUUUACUGUUUGAUAUUGCACUAUGGUCUCCAAUAGUGCUCCACUACUGCCAGUGUCUUGCACAUCACUUUAAUGUAUAUAUAUAAAUAUAUAUAUAUAUAUAUAUAUAUAUAUAUAUAUAUAUA